UACAGGGGGUGCAAACGUUGCUCGGAAUUAUUGGGCGUAAAGCGCGCGUAGGCGGCUACCUAAGUCGGAUGUGAAAGCCCUUGGCUCAACUGAGGAAGUGCACCCGAAACUGAGUGGCUAGAGUACGAAAGAGGGUCGCGGAAUUCCCGGUGUAGAGGUGAAAUUCGUAGAUAUCGGGAGGAACACCGGUGGCGAAGGCGGCGACCUGGGUCGAUACUGACGCUGAUGCGCGAAAGCGUGGGGAGCAAACAGG
rnacentral:rRNA from 1 species